GUGAAUCAUCAAAUUUUUGAACGCAUAUUGCACUCUCUGGUAUUCCGGAGAGUAUGCCUGUUUGAGAGUAAUUAAAAAGAAUAUUUAACCUAUUUUUUUUGGUCAAAGGACAUGAGGUCUCCGCGUUUAUAGCGGUAGCUUGAAAUAAAUGUUCAAGUCCCAUUAUAGUCGAGACGCGUGAUAAUAUAUUUUCGCGAAAACUUCAUUAUGUGACUAUCAUGU
rnacentral:misc_RNA from 1 species